UUCCGGUUGAUCCCGCCGGACCUGACUGCUAUCGGAUUGGUACUAAGCCAUGCGAGUCAUUGUAGCAAUACAAGGCGGACGGCUCAGUAACACGUAGUCAACCUAACUCGUGGACGUGGAUAACCUCGGGAAACUGAGAAUAAACCACGAUAGACCAUAGUGCCUGGAAUGGCUUAUGGUCCAAACAGUUUACUGCCAUGGGAUGGGACUGCGGCCUAUCAGCUUGUUGGUGAGGUAAUGGCCCACCAAGGCGAUUACAGGUACGGGCUCUGAGAGGAGAAGCCCGGAGAUGGGUACUGAGACACGGACCCAGGCCCUAUGGGGCGCAGCAGGCGAGAAACCUUAGCAAUGUGCGAAAGCACGACUGGGUCAGUCCGAGUGAUUCCUGAUAAAGGAGUCUUUUGCUUGUCCUAAAAGCACAGGUGAAUAAGGGGUGGGCAAGUCUGGUGUCAGCCGCCGCGGUAAUACCAGCACCUCGAGUGGUCAGGACGUUUAUUGGGCCUAAAGCAUCCGUAGCCGGCUUUGCAAGUCUUCGGUUAAAUCCACCUGCUCAACAGAUGGGCUGCUGGAGAUACUACAAAGCUAGGGAGUGGGAGAGGCAGACGGUAUUCAGUGGGUAGGGGUAAAAUCCUCUGAUCCAUUGAGGACCACCAGUGGCGAAGGCGGUCUGCCAGAACACGUUCGACGGUGAGGGAUGAAAGCUGGGGGAGCAAACCGGAUUAGAUACCCGGGUAGUCCCAGCUGUAAACGAUGCUAGCUAGAUGAUUCAUUCGCAAGUCGCGAAUGAAGUGUCGCAGGGAAGCCGUUAAGCUAGCCGCCUGGGGAGUACGGUCGCAAGACUGAAACUUAAAGGAAUUGGCGGGGGAGCA
rnacentral:rRNA from 1 species